rnacentral:rRNA from 1 species
AUUGAACGCUGGCGGCAGGCUUAACACAUGCAAGUCGAGCGGGGGAAGGUAGCUUGCUACUGGACCUAGCGGCGGACGGGUGAGUAAUGCUUAGGAAUCUGCCUAUUAGUGGGGGACAACAUCUCGAAAGGGAUGCUAAUACCGCAUACGUCCUACGGGAGAAAGCAGGGGAUCUUCGGACCUUGCGCUAAUAGAUGAGCCUAAGUCGGAUUAGCUAGUUGGUGGGGUAAAGGCCUACCAAGGCGACGAUCUGUAGCGGGUCUGAGAGGAUGAUCCGCCACACUGGGACUGAGACACGGCCCAGACUCCUACGGGAGGCAGCAGUGGGGAAUAUUGGACAAUGGGGGGAACCCUGAUCCAGCCAUGCCGCGUGUGUGAAGAAGGCCUUAUGGUUGUAAAGCACUUUAAGCGAGGAGGAGGCUACUUUAGUUAAUACCUAGGGAUAGUAGACGUUACUCGCAGAAUAAGCACCGGCUAACUCUGUGCCAGCCGCCGCCGUAA